UACGGGGGGGGGCAAGCGUUGUUCGGAAUUACUGGGCGUAAAGCGCACGUAGGCGGCUUUGUAAGUUAGAGGUGAAAGCCCGGAGCUCAACUCCGGAACUGCCUUUAAGACUGCAUCGCUUGAACGUCGGAGAGGUAAGUGGAAUUCCGAGUGUAGAGGUGAAAUUCGUAGAUAUCGGAAGAACACCAGUGGCGAAGGCGACUCGCUGGACAAGUAUUGACGCUGAGGUGCGAAAGCGUGGGGAGCAAACAGG
rnacentral:rRNA from 1 species